UUGGGGUGUGUGUGUGUGUGUGUGUGUGUGUGAGUGUGAGAUGAAAGCAAGCUGUUAUGUGAUCAGCAACAGAUUGUAACCACUUUGUUUGUCAUCUUUACUCUGCAGGCUUUCCCUUGUAUCUCCACUGGAAUCUACGGAUAUCCACCUGAGCAGGCUGUGCACGAGGCGUUAGCAACUGUGAGGGAGUAUCUGGAUCACCAUCAUGACAAGCUGGACAGAGUCAUCUUCUGUGUGUUCUUGCCGACGGAUAAGGAGCUGUAUCUGCAGAACCUCCCGCUCUACUUCCCUGCCGAGGCCACUGUCAUGAGUAAACUCUGAGAGAGUGGAUUUGUCAGAUUUGGUUGCUGUGGAUACACACUGCUACGCUCAACAUCCAGAUUCUUCCUCCUCCUCGCUGUCAUCACAGAUCAAGACCUUCCUGAGCAGGAAGAUAUCUCCUAAAUGGAUGAAUGCUUUUUUGAAGUGCACACUGGCUCUUCUGCAGAUGUUGAUUAGUUUCUCUGUUUCCCUGCUAAUUAUUGAGGUUAAUAGAGUUGUCAUGACGAAGGUUUUAAAUGAUAUUCUGAAUGAAUUCUUGUGAAAAAUGGAUUGUGUGUACCUUAAGCUGCACUCAAACUUGACCUUUAUUGUCUGUGACCAGUGGUAGCUUUGCAUCAAGCUUACAACCCCCUAUGUGUCCUGUGCUAUUUGAAUAUUGAGAUUCCAGUGUGUGCAUGUGUGUGAGACAAUGACAAAAGCUUAUUAAAACGAAUCACACAGGC